rnacentral:lncRNA from 1 species
CCAUUUCAUCAAAUGUUGCUCAGUAAUUUUUCUAGCUAGCAUUUGGAAUUGCUGAGAUUUAUGUAAGCUUCUUUAUACUGAGUAGCACUGCUUCUUUAUAUAGCUUCAUAUGCACUAGGAGUCACAUUAAUAAGAGUAGAUAUUUAUUUUGUCCAUUCUAAAUGGGUCGUGUUUUGCUUUCUCUCAAUUUACUCGCUUAGCAGAGAGAACUACAUACAGAACGAAAACAAAGGACAUAUCAACAUAUCCAAUGCAGUGCCGAAAAAAAUAAAAAAAAAAAAAAUCUACACUUUCUAGAGCAAGUGACAAAAAGCUUGACGGUUGAUAUCCGAAAUUCCAAGCUCGAAUCCUAGUUGAUUCACAUUUUCAGCUAAGUUUAUUUCUAAAUAAAAUAAACGAAGCGGAUAGCGUGCUACCUAUCUCACAN